rnacentral:rRNA from 1 species
GCCAGACUCCUACGGGAGGCAGCAGUGGGGAAUAUUGCACAAUGGGGGAAACCCUGAUGCAGCGACGCCGCGUGAGUGAAGAAGUAUUUCGGUAUGUAAAGCUCUAUCAGCAGGGAAGAAAUAGCGACCUUUGGGUCGCCAGACGGUACCUGAUUAAGAAGCCCCGGCUAACUACGUGCCAGCAGCCGCGGUAAUACGUAGGGGGCAAGCGUUAUCCGGAUUUACUGGGUGUAAAGGGAGCGUAGACGGCAGCGCAAGUCUGAAGUGAAAACCCAGGGCUCAACCCUGGGACUGCUUUGGAAACUGUUUUGCUAGAGUGUCGGAGAGGUAAGUGGAAUUCCUAGUGUAGCGGUGAAAUGCGUAGAUAUUAGGAGGAACACCAGUGGCGAAGGCGGCUUACUGGACGAUAACUGACGUUGAGGCUCGAAAGCGUGGGGAGCAAACAGGAUUAGAUACCCCCGUAA